GUCUUACUGAGUUUACGCUCUACAACCCUUUGUGAACAUACCUAUAACUGUUGCUUCGGCGGGUAGGGUCUCCGUGACCCUCCCGGCCUCCCGCCCCCGGGCGGGUCGGCGCCCGCCGGAGGAUAACCAAACUCUGAUUUAACGACGUUUCUUCUGAGUGGUACAAGCAAAUAAUCAAAACUUUUAACAACGGAUCUCUUGGUUCUGGCAUCGAUGAAGAACGCAGCGAAAUGCGAUAAGUAAUGUGAAUUGCAGAAUUCAGUGAAUCAUCGAAUCUUUGAACGCACAUUGCGCCCGCCAGCAUUCUGGCGGGCAUGCCUGUUCGAGCGUCAUUUCAACCCUCAAGCUCUGCUUGGUGUUGGGGCCCUACAGCUGAUGUAGGCCCUCAAAGGUAGUGGCGGACCCUCCCGGAGCCUCCUUUGCGUAGUAACUUUACGUCUCGCACUGGGAUCCGGAGGGACUCUUGCCGUAAAACCCCCAAUUCUCCAAAGGUUGACCUCGGAUCAGGUAGGAAUACCCGCUGAACUUAAGCAUAUCAUUAAAAGCGGAGGAA
rnacentral:rRNA from 1 species